AGGAGAAGGCGUGGGUGUGUUGUUGGUCUUUUGUAAGUAAAUCAGUAGAAAGGUGAAAUCGGGUGAGCUUACUUACCCGGUAGUAAUCUUUUGAACGUCGAAAGCAAAGGUGAAAACGAUCUUCUUUCCUAUUCCUCCGUUCGGGCGAAGGCUUUGGCUUGUGUGUGUUAUUACACAAACACCUUUAAUUGUCUUUGUGAAUGUAUUUGCUCCUUGUGGGCGAAAAUAAAUACAACUUUCAACAACGGAUCUCUUGGCUCUCGCAUCGAUGAAGAACGCAGCGAAAUGCGAUAAGUAAUGUGAAUUGCAGAAUUCAGUGAAUCAUCGAAUCUUUGAACGCACCUUGCGCCCCUUGGUAUUCCGAGGGGCAUGCCUGUUUGAGUGUCAUGUUAAUCUCAAACCGCUAGUCUUUCUUAAUUGAAGGGCUUUGAGGUUUGGACUUGGAGGCUUCAUUGCUGGCGGGGGGUUCCCCUUUCGGGGGACUUUGUCCGGCUCCUCUUAAAUACAUUAGCUGGGCUUUGGCUCGCGUUUACGGUGUAAUAGUUAAUUCCAUUCACCAAGGAACGCUUGCCUUACGAGCCUGCUUCUAAUCGUCCGCAUCGUCGGACAAGGAGCUGUUGUUGCUCCUUCUUGACCCCUUGACCUCAAAUCAGGUA
rnacentral:rRNA from 1 species